UUCGAUACAGAUUCUUGUACGUUGUCAAGCCUUGACAACGGUACAAGAAUCUGUAUAGAAACGUUGCACUCUCGUAAUAAAGAAGUUGUUAUCCAUAAAGUUUGUCAAUUUUGAAACGGACAAAGCUUAGCAAAUAUUUUAUGACGGUAGAGGUUAUUGAAAAUUGGAUAUAUUACAGACCUACUGACCACGAUAUUGUACUUACCUGCCAAGGUCACAUUGAUAGGGAACAUCGGACAUAAUCCGGGACCAGUAUCUCCUAAGAUAACAGAGCCAAGGUGCUAUACAUUUUGUGCAAUAUCGUCUUUACGGCUGUUUGUAUUCCACAUUGAUCAAAUCACGCGCGUGCUACACAUACCUUCGUGGCAUAUUCGCAACUGGUCAUCCAUUGUACACGUUUAUCAUGGAUGCAUCGGUCAAACUAAAUGAUAUAAUAUCGAGUUCACAAUAACAACGUUAUAGUAAGUGUAAUUAGUAAAUGCGAUUGUCGUCGAUAGCUGGAAAAGGUGUAUAAUACGAACGACAAUCACAAAUCGGCUGUCUAGUAAAUUCACCCAGGUAAGGAAAUUUACUUUCUUCUACUUUGUUAAAACCUUCACGCUUCAUGAAUUUGAUCUAUCGUACCGUAACCAUAUGUUACAACCUUCAGGUAUGUGGAACGUGGCAUCCUUUCAUGGAUUUCUCAGAUAUUCUGUAUUACUGUUUAUGUUUACUGAUGAACACUAUGCUGUGUUGAAUAUGUAGUUGUAUACUGUAUAUCCUGUGUGACGACCCACUCGGGUCGGCCGUGCUCUAUUCAGUGGUGCGUGAACUGAGGUAAUAAUAAUAAUAAUAAUAAUAAUUGGCUUGUAUAGCGCCUAGUUUCCAUCACAGAUGCUCAACGGCGCUGCAUACAUUGUUAAAAACACAAUGAGUGUGAAAAGAGUUCUAUUCAGAAGCCAUCUUGAAGAAGUAUGAGGUGGUGUACCUUGAUAUUUAUCAUCACUGAUGUAUCGUGUGUAAUUCUUUUAUAGCAUUGCUGUUCUUGAUAUAUAUGUACUCCAAUAAACGAUUGUGAAACUUGAUUAUGUAUUGUAGAGAAGACUAGUUAUGUAUUCAUUCGGAGGCUCUGUAAUAAACUCAUCGUUUAUUUA